rnacentral:rRNA from 1 species
CGUCGAGUGGCGGACGGGUGAGUAAUACUUAGGAAUCUACCCAGUAGCGGGGGACAACUCGGGGAAACUCGAGCUAACACCGCAUACGCCCUACGGGGGAAAGCUAGGGGAUCUUCGGACCUUGCACUAUUGGAUGAGCCUAAGUCGGAUUAGCUUGUUGGUGAGGUAAAGGCUCACCAAGGCGACGAUCCGUAGCUGGUCUGAGAGGACGACCAGCCACACUGGGACUGAGACACGGCCCAG